rnacentral:rRNA from 1 species
GGGUUGUGAGGUUAAGCGACUAAGCGUACACGGUGGAUGCCCUGGCAGUCAGAGGCGAUGAAGGGCGUACUAAUCUGCGAUAAGCGCCGGUAAGGUGAUAUGAACCGUUAUAACCGGCGAUACCCGAAUGGGGAAACCCAGUGUGAUUCGUCACACUAUCAUUAACUGAAUCCAUAGGUUAAUGAGGCGAACCGGGGGAACUGAAACAUCUAAGUACCCCGAGGAAAAGAAAUCAACCGAGAUUCCCCCAGUAGCGGCGAGCGAACGGGGAGGAGCCCAGAGCCUGAAUCAGCAUGUGUGUUAGUGGAAGCGUCUGGAAAGACGCGCGAUACAGGGUGACAGCCCCGUACACAAAAGCGUAUGUGCUGUGAGCUCGAUGAGUAGGGCGGGACACGUGGUAUCCUGUCUGAAUAUGGGGGGACCAUCCUCCAAGGCUAAAUACUCCUGACUGACCGAUAGUGAACCAGUACCGUGAGGGAAAGGCGAAAAGAACCCCGGCGAGGGGAGUGAAAAAGAACCUGAAACCGUGUACGUACAAGCAGUGGGAGCACAGGUUUACC